GUCUAUGGCCAUGCCACCUUGAACGUGACUGAUUUCGUUUGAUCUUGGAAGCUAAGCUGGGUUUGAGCCUGGUUAGUACUUGGAUGGGAGACCACCUAGGAAUACCAGGUACUGUAGGAG
rnacentral:rRNA from 1 species